rnacentral:lncRNA from 1 species
AUAAAAUGAUAAGGAUCCCAAAACGAACACACCAUGACACCUGACGUCGUCGCCUGAACCGUACGACGCUCCCAAACGAACGCACCAUGGUUGAGCGGGUUGAGCAAGCUGUCAAAUUUUUUCACUCGCGAUGCAUGUUCGAUCCUGUUUGUGUUGGCCGCAGUUUCAAAAGUUUUAAUCGAAAUGAAAUCGCGUGUGCUUGUGAAAAACCAAACUCCCGGCGUCAAAUCUGCCGGGUGACUGAUCCGGGAGGGAGAAGAGGAUUAGUGUCAGCAACUUUUGCAAAUCAAUCCGGAGUAUCCAGUCGACAAAAGGUACCGGCGGACAGACUGAACACACCACGGCAUCACCCACCCGAGGGGGAACAGGAACCGGUCUCGAUCGAGGGUUUCAAAAGGAAUCGAAAGCGAAAGAAAACGUCGUGGAAGGAUUCCUUUUGGCGAUUUGCAAAAAGCUGAAGAAGGCGUUAACAAUUCAUGAACAAAUAAACAAUGUGGUUCAAUGUUGAAUAUAAAUAACAUACUAUGAAUAACAAUAAAACUAUUGUAAAAUUUA